AUGAACGAGUUAUGGAAGAAGUUAAGAUGUGCAAUGAACUUGACAGUGGAGUGUAUAUGGUGUUGCUUCCAUUUAUCGGGUCGAAACCAAUCUAGAACACAAACAUUAAUGCAUUCUCUUAAACAUUUUUCGGUUCCGAAUGUUUCCUUCCAUAUACUGAUUUGCUUUCUAUUUAAGAUCAUUGCAUUGUGGAUCAACAACACUCUCUAA